CAGCAGCCGCGGUAAUACGAAGGGUGCAAGCGUUACUCGGAAUUACUGGGCGUAAAGCGUGUGUAGGUGGUUGUUUAAGUCUGUCGUGAAAGCCCUGGGCUCAACCUGGGAAUUGCGAUGGAUACUGGGCGACUAGAGUGCGGUAGAGGAUAGUGGAAUUUCCGGUGUAGCAGUGAAAUGCGUAGAGAUCGGAAGGAACAUCUGUGGCGAAGGCGACUAUCUGGGCCAACACUGACACUGAGACACGAAAGCGUGGGGAGCAAACAGGAUUAGAUACCCGUGUAGUCCCUGUCUCUUAUAC
rnacentral:rRNA from 1 species